rnacentral:rRNA from 1 species
UACGUAGGGGGCAAGCGUUGUCCGGAAUCAUUGGGCGUAAAGAGCGCGUAGGCGGUCCGGUAAGUCGGUCGUGAAAACUGGGGGCUCAACCCUCAGAGGCCGACCGAUACUGUCGGGCUAGAGUCCGGAAGAGGCGAGUGGAAUUCCUGGUGUAGCGGUGAAAUGCGCAGAUAUCAGGAGGAACACCAAUGGCGAAGGCAGCUCGCUGGGACGGUACUGACGCUGAGGCGCGAAAGCGUGGGGAGCAAACAGG